ACGAAUCAUGUCGUUGUAGUAUUUUAGUGGCUUGCUAGAACACUGCUAGAACACCAAUCAUACAGCAGAGGUGUACCUAGAACAAGAAGACAACAAGAAAAACACACAGUUAGCAACCAAAUUGAAAAUUGAAAAAGAACUUGAUCUAAGCAAGUCUGAAAUCUCAAAUGUAACAAACAAACACCCAAUUGGCAACAGGGACAAAUUGAUAAUAGGUUUUUUAGUCAAUUAUCUUAAAACACCAAUCAUGUCGUUGUAAUAUUUUAGGUUGUCAAUCCAAAUGAGUUUGAUGCUAACAAUAAGGAUGACUUGAUGGCAUGUGUAUGAUUGGUGUUCUAGCAGUGUUCUAGCAAGCCACUAAGUCACUAAGUCACUAAGUCAAGCCAAGUAAUAACAGGUUUUGGUGUGUUCUAGCAGUCCUAAGUGAACAUGCAGAAAACAGAAAAUCAAGCAGAAACAAUAAAACACUUGACCAACACAGCUCGUUGCAGAGCACUGGGUGUGGUCGAGUGACAGUUCGAGUAACAGACAGAAAAUGUAACAGGGAUACUCGAUUGCACAGUCUGUUGCCGGACAACUGGGGGGUCAAGUAACAGGUCGAGUAACAGUAAAGAAUUGCAGAAACUAAGCAACAGAUGAAAAGAUGCAGUAAACAACAGUAGAGUAAACAAUAAAAUCAAUCAGAUAAAGAAUUCCCGAGGAUGGGGUAAUUGAGUAGUUUCGUUUCCUCAAUUUACAGGUGAUUGACAUGCUCAAUAAAUUAUCCCUAGACAACAAGUUCAUUAACCAAAUCUAAGUGCCACCGCAAUAGAGACCCUCAACUUAACCUAGUCCCAGACUCAAUCACCAUUGACGAGAGCUAACCUUAUAGGCAUUACGAAUCAACAAGUUAAAGCCAAAACACUCCCUGCAACCAAUACCUUGGUACUGAGCCACGAAUCUCUGGAAUUAGUGGUUCAGACAUUUCAUCGAACACCUUUUGGGCGCGGAAAUGUCUGGGCUCAAAUUCCAGUUGAUCAAAAAGCAAUAGGGAUUAAGAACAACUAAUCCAGAAGGGAUCUAUCAAUCAAUACUCAACCACCUAGCAUACUGAGAAUUCUACACUACUCUAACCCAUCCUCAGAAACCUAUUCACUACUCAGACAUCAUUGAAGAGAACAUAAACGUUGAACAGGAUGAAAACAUGAUAACAACAGUGUAAUAGCAAAACAAUAACAGGAUGAACAACAAUAAACAAAAUCAAGAACAAAUACUGAAUACUGAAUAGAUAAAGAGAAAUCCAGAUUACAAAAGGUCUAGAACACAAUGUCUGCGAAAUAAAACUAGAUAAAAACCUCUUCUCGAAAAUGUAAAGUACAUGCUACUUAUAGCAAAAUAUUCGAAAACCCUAAUACUCAAAACGAUGCAGUAUUGGGACAUAUUAAGAACUAUACUCAACCCAGAUGGUCGAGUGAGAGGUCGAGUGAUAUGCUAGAGUCUUCUUUUCUUCCUUGUGCUCGAGUGUCUAGUUGAGUGCGGAAUGAAGAAGACUCUAAAGCUUGCCAUAGAGUAUGUAGUCGAGUGGUGGUGGUGAAGACACUCAACCUGGGGGUUGAAUGAUGUGAUCGAGUGACUGGUCAGGUGGUGGAGGUGAAUACACUCGACCAGGUGGUCGAGUGAGGUGAUCGAGUAUCUCUCGUGGUGGUACUCGGCCAGAGGGUCGAGUGAUGAGAUGAAAUUGUGAACUCCCCUACUCGACCAGGGGGUCGAGUGGUCUGUUGAGGUCUUGAAGCUUCUACUCGACCUCGGGGUCGAGUGGUUUGACAUGAUCAGGUCCGCUUCUUCCAGUUAGCUCGUCAACAGCUCUAAAUCACCUGAAAUCAACACAAAUAUGCAACAUGCAUGCAAACCUAUCCUAAACAUGCAAAGUGAUGACAAAUGAUGAGAAUGGUAUAAAACACUGAUGAUAAGGUGCUAAAGUGAUGACAAAUGGUAUGCUCAAACUUGCAAAAUACACACUUAUCAACAUGAUAGCAACAAAGUAAUAGCAGGAUGAUAAUAGGAUGAACAACUUGGUAAACCAAAUCAAAAGCAAAUACUGAAUACUGAAUAGAUUAAGAGAAAUCCGGAUUACAAAAACGUCAAGAACACAGUGUCUGCGGAAAAUAAAACUUAGGU
rnacentral:sRNA from 1 species